UAGCACGAUCUUUUCUUCUCUCUCCAUCUGUUGUUCAUUCGCAACCUCCCGAGCUGGCCUCGAUCCAUGGCCUCUCCUUCCACCCAGAUCCGAUCCGUCACCGAUCGUCCGUGGCGCGAGCGCCGGGCCUCCUCCUCAAUCUCCUCGUUCUGCGCCGCCCCGAUUACACUGUGCACACGUGCUCCGGAGCCAUGGCCGCCUUUUGUCGAGCCGCGUGAUCGAUGUCCGACCGGCGCCGCGACCGGCCUCUUGCGCAGUUCCCGACCGUCGUCCCCUGUGCCUCCUCCCGCGUCUCCCCACCUCGCCUGUGCAGCACCGUUGUUGCACGUCUCCAGCGCCAUCUGCUGCAGCCCCGCAGUCAACCGCUUGCACGCCAUGGGCAGCGGCCAUGGACCAGUUCGACAAGACCAUGGUGCUUGCGGGCGGGAUGCCCCUCGCCGCCGGCAGGGCAGGGAAGAUGUGGGAGUCCCUGGGCACUCUUGUGUGACGCCUCUGCACUGCCUUUGAGGAGCACGAUGACUGCCUGGAGGCCAAGCUGUUUGAUGUGUCCGUCAGGUCCGUACUUUCCUGCCUCUUCCCUGCCCUCCCCUCUUACUCUCAAACUCAAGCACCAACUCGACGGCAAGCACCAUGCAGCAGCUCAGUCAAAGCCCGAAAUACAUUGAACGGACAAGUGCUGAACCGGUUCACUGACUAGCCUGAUUGAUUCAAUCCCCAUGUGCUUGUGUCAAUGCCUGCAAGGGAGCAAGCGUACUGGCGGGAUGGUUGGAAGGAGAGUAAUUUGCUACAAAGCUUAUUAUUUAUGGUUAUUUCCUGAAUCUCUGAUAUAAUAUACAAUACAUUAUGUAGAAACCAAAAUGAUGUUCAUAGAGAUCUCAGAAUUAGGUGAAUAUCAUUAUGCUUGUGUUAUCUUUUUCAUUUUAUGAUUUAGCACCAGUCGCCAACUAUGGUUACCGUGUGUGGCUUGAAUCCAAUAGCAUGUGAUUGAACAAAUGAACGAAAUAUAGGUGAAACAUUUAAUUUUUAGAAGAGAUGGGUGAUACGUACUUCCGUUCAAGUGUUCCCUAAAUUUUUUCAUAGUUUGCAUUGGGACACAGUAAUUGCUUAAAGCAUUUAUUUGACUGCAAUGUUGCUUGCCGGCAUCUCCACCAUUCAUCUUGUCAUUGACAGAAACCCCAUCUUGUCACUGAUAGAACCCCAGGCUCUUCCACCUAUAGCAAACAAAUAAAAGGACUUGAUUUAUGGGCUUGUAAAUUGGUUGUAUCUACAUGGAAGGUUUAUGGAUUGUGAACCUUUUACUCCGUCUUAUCCUUAGGCUGCACAACAUUUACUUUAGCAAAGGUCUCUCUGUUGCUGAGAUUCUUAAAAAUGGAUGGGAGUCGGUGCAAAGUACAUGGACACAUUGGUGCGAUAUUUUAAAAUUGAGAAACAGCCUCCAAGCUACUUGUGAAGGUGUCAAUUUCUGCAUUGAUAAAGAUUCAAUUAUACUUCUGAUGGGAUUUUUUCUGUUAGCUGUCUCUACAAGAGAAUGAACUUGAGAAAUAUUAAUUUCUAGAUAAAUUUCUUUGGAAAGUGAAGCUUCCCCUGAAAAUUAAAGUUUUUCAUUGCUGGUUUUGAAAAAAUAAACAUACUAACUAAAGCCAAUUUAUUCAAAUGAUGUUUUCAGGGAGAUAAAACCUGUCAAUUACGUGGUAGAGAUUAGAUUAUUGGUGCAAAGGAAUCGGUAUUACAACAGAACUUGAAGCUGACGAGGAUGGUUGACGUUUGGUUUUGGUGGAAAGUCAGGUACAUCACAUCUCAAUCAUAAUUCUGCCCCACUACCCAACAAAAAAAAUACGACGGUGAUGUUCAUUGGUGCUAGGUCUCCAGAAGUGGGUUUGUCGGAUUUUCAUUUUCUUUGUAUAAUAAAUGUAAUACAUAACUCCUGGAGCCUAUGGAUUUUGGGGAGAUAGUGUAUGUACUGUAGGUUCAUUCUGUUUUCUCCUAAUGAAACUUGGGGUGUGUGCACAAUUACAGAAUUACCAAGGAGACAUUUUUCGGACAGAAAGAAAAUCUAAUAUUUGGUUUCCGUCCAUUUUCUACUUGCAUUAGCAUUAUAAAACACAAUGAAUGUCCCAGUGAUUAAUCACAAAUGAUGCCCCGGUCUAUCCAUAGUAGCAUAAUGGGCCAAUGCUAGAAUAAUUGACAAAUCUACAAUCUUUUUUUUUUGUAAUGGUGGUGUUAUUUCUGCUAGAAUGAUUGCAUUUUAUGUAAUAUUGCAAAUAUACUCUUGGUCAAUAGAAAUGAUAUCUCCCUGUUUGGUCUCA